CCCUGCGCGAGGUGCCGCCUUUCUCCGGCUCAUUGAUUCUCCCGCCUCCAGCUGGUCCUCUCCCAUGGCCAUAGCCCACCCCACUCCCAGAAACCUGAUCCUAAAUACCUUCCCCGAGGCUUUCAAAGGAACCCAGACACCGGUUCAGCAGCCCGCAGCUCACGCAACAGGCGGAGCCUUGGGGCUCCAGCAACGGCGGGCUCUGGGCACCAGAGCAUGCGGACUCCACAAGCCAGGCGCCCAGCAGCACAGAAAGUGCCCUGCGGCCGUAGACCCUCUGGGUCGUGCACCCGCGACCUGGACCACAGGGGACUGUGGCAGCAAAAGUCUUGUCUCCUCUCCUGUGGAAAAGGAUCCAAAGCAUUGGUCUACACUGCUAUUUACAAGCAACUGAAGAAGAGGACUUCUGGAGUGGAUGGAGACACGUGCCACCAAUGGAUGCAUUUCAGUCUGUCUUCCGGGCCUCCUUUAGAGGUCUCCCUCUCUUACCCACCUAUCACACGCCCAUGUCUUCCCUCCCCACAGCCAAAUCUAGCUGGAUUAGUACUUACCUUAGCACCUUAGCCUUGAAGGAAAGGGAAGUGCUCAUUAGCUUCUUAAAUUGGAAUAGGUCUGCAGGUGAAAAUGAAGAUGUGCUCAUCUCUGGCAGGAAGGUUGGGCGUGAGGUGUCUAGUCCUAAUGAGCAGCAUUUAUUUGGUGGGUGCCUCCCACUUGCCACUUUCUACACAGCCGCCUGAAUAUCACUCCAGUUAGUCUGAGCAUAUGAAACACCUGCAACUCCCUAGACCCACCAUGCUUUUUCAUGACUCUCUGAACGCACAGGAGUCCUCCGCUAAGAACACAGUUCCCCACCACCAAGCUUUGUUUUGCCCAACAGACCCCUUCCCCUUAGGACGAGAUUCAGUGGAUAAUGACAUCAUAAUCAUGACCCUCUGGGAAGCCGCCUUUCUCAUCCUGGGUUGUGUGUCUCCUCUCCACACUCCCUCAGCACCCUUUGGUGAUAUGACAUCCCUCUUUCAUAGAAUCUACCAUAUAGGAUUUUAACUGUUUAUCUUCUACUCAACGAUGAACUCCUUGAAGAUUGAAUUUCUAGGACCUUUUGUUGGAUCUGCAUGUUUGUGAAGUGAAUUACUGAAGGCUGCCCAGUUUCAUCUGCUCCUAGUCAAAACCUAAAUCCCU
rnacentral:lncRNA from 1 species